AGGACGAACGCUGGCGGCGUGCUUAACACAUGCAAGUCGAGCGGAAAGGCCUUUCGGGGUACUCGAGCGGCGAACGGGUGAGUAACACGUGAGUAAUCUGCCCAUCGCUUCAGGAUAGCCAUCGGAAACGGUGAUUAAUACUGGAUAUGACAUUCCUUCGCAUGUUGGGGUGUGGUAAAGUUUUUUCGGCGGUGGAUGUGCUCGCGGCCUAUCAGCUUGGUUGGUGGGUAAUGGCCUACCAAGGCUUUGACGGGUAGCCGGCCUGAGGAGGGUGACCGGCCACACGUGGGACUGAGACACGGCCCAGACUCCGACGGGAGCAGCAGUGGGAAUGUGGACAGUGGGCGAAGCCUGAUCCAGCACGCGCGUGAGGAUGACGGCCUUCGGGUUACGUAACCUUCUUCG
rnacentral:rRNA from 1 species